rnacentral:rRNA from 1 species
GAUGAACGCUGGCGGCGUGCUUAACACAUGCAAGUCGAACGGAAAGGCUCCUGCUUGCAGGGGUACUCGAGUGGCGAACGGGUGAGUAACACGUGGGUGAUCUGCCCUGCACUUCGGGAUAAGCCUGGGAAACUGGGUCUAAUACCGGAUAGGACGAUGGUUUGGAUGCCAUUGUGGAAAGUUUUUCGGUGUGGGAUGAGCUCGCGGCCUAUCAGCUUGUUGGUGGGGUAAUGGCCUACCAAGGCGUCGACGGGUAGCCGGCCUGAGAGGGUGUACGGCCACAUUGGGACUGAGAUACGGCCCAGACUCCUACGGGAGGCAGCAGUGGGGAAUAUUGCACAAGGGGCGCAAGCCUGAUGCAGCGACGCCGCGGGGGGGAUGACGGCCUUCGGGUUGUAAACUCCUUUCGCUAGGGACGAAGCGUUUUGUGACGGUACCUGGAGAAGAAGCACCGGCUAACUACGUG